UGGGGCCAGGGCACCUCGGUCAUCGUCUCCUCAGCAACGGAAUCCAGUCCGAUUCUCUUUCCCCUCGUCUCCUGCGAGAGACCCUUCUCUGAUGGCAACCAGGUGUCUGUGGGCUGCCUGGCACGGGACUUUCUGCCCAGCCAAAUAUCCUUCUCCUGGACCUACAAGAACGACUCUGCGGUGAACCAGGUCAUCAGAACCUUCCCAGAUAUACGGCUUGGGGAAAAGUAUGCAGCCACCUCCCAAGUGCUCCUGGGCUCCAACAACAUCCUCCAGGACGCUGACUUGCACCUGGUGUGCAAGGUUGACCAUAGCACAGGCACCAUAAAGAAGGAAGUGGUUAUUGAAGGGUCCUUGGAGCAGGCCCCCAACGUGACCGUGUUUGUCCCACCCAGAGACAGCUUCUCUGCUUCUGGUAAAUCCAAACUCAUCUGCGAGGCCACAGGCUUCACCCCCAAGCCGAUCACAGUGUCCUGGCUGCGGGAUGGAACCCCUACAGAGUAUGGUGUCGUCACAGACCAGAUAGUGGCUGAGCAAAAAGACUCUGGGGCAGUGACUUUCAAGGUUACCAGCACACUGAUCAUCACUGAUAGCGAUUGGCUAGGCCAGAAGGUGUUCACCUGCCGUGUGACUCACAAGACAGGCAUCUUCGAGAAGAAUGUGUCCUCCUCCGUGUGUAUCCCCACAACACCAGCCACAGACAUGAAAGUCUUCACCAUUCCUCCCUCCUUUAAUGACAUCUUCCACACCAAGUCAGUCAAGCUGAGGUGCCUGGUCAGCGACAUGACCCACCCCGGAGGACUAAACAUCUCCUGGUCCCGCCAGGAUGGCAAGGAACUGCCAACCAAACUCACAGACCCUGUGAGCCAAGCCAAUGGCACUCUCAGUGCCAUAGGUGAGGCCAGCAUCUGUGAGGAAGACUGGGACUCUGGGGAGACUUUCACAUGCACUGUGAUCCACCAGGACCUGCCCUUCCCAGUGAAGGAGACCAUCUCCAAGCCCAAAGCUGGGAACAAGAAGCCCCCUGCCGUGUAUGUGCUGCCACCAGCCCGGGAGCAGCUGGUCCUGCACGAGCAGGCCACCAUCAUCUGCCUGGUGAAGGGCUUUGCUCCUGCAGACGUCUUUGUGCAAUGGCUAAAGAGCGGGCAGCCCUUGUCCUCGGACAAGUAUGUGACCAGCGCCGCGAUGCCCGAGCCCCAUACCCCAGGCCUCUACUACGCCCACAGCCUGCUGACAGUGACCGAGGAGGACUGGAGCUCAGGGGAGACCUUCACCUGUGUAGUGGGCCACGAGAGCCUGCCGCACAUGGUGACCGAGAGGACCGUGGACAAGUCCACUGAGGGGGAGGUGAAUGCUGAGGAGGAGGGCUUUGAGAACCUGUGGACCACCGCUUCCACCUUCAUUGUGCUGUUCCUGCUGAGCCUCUUCUACAGCACCACUGUCACCCUGUUCAAGGUGAAGUGACCCAGCGGUGGGCAGACACUGGAUACCAACAGCCCAACCACAGGGCCUGGUCUGGGGUGGCCUGCCCUGUGUGGCCCUGGAUUUGAACCUCUUCUCACAUCCUUCCAGCUCUGCUCUCUAGGACCAGAGCAGCUCUGCUCUCUAGGACCAGGCUUCUCUCCAUACCAGCCCAACAUCUCCACCAUGUUCACAGCACUGGGUGCCCACACUCUGCUUUGCUAUUUGCAUGUGUGUUGUCCUGAAAUAAAUGCAGAUGUGCUCUCUUGU